rnacentral:rRNA from 1 species
UACAGAGGGUGCAAGCGUUAAUCGGAGUUACUGGGCGUAAAGGGCACGUAGGCGGUCAUGCAAGUGAGAUGUGAAAUCCCCGGGCUUAACCUGGGAACUGCAUUUUAGACUGUGUGACUGGAGUACUGUAGAGGAUAGUGGAAUUUCCGGUGUAGCGGUGAAAUGCGUAGAGAUCGGAAGGAACACCAGUGGCGAAGGCGACUGUCUGGACAGAUACUGACGCUGAGGCGCGAAAGCGUGGGGAGCAAACAGG